rnacentral:lncRNA from 1 species
ACCAUUAAUCUUCCAUCUCUAUGUGCAGUCCCACCAUCAGCCAUUCUUAAAAUAAACAACGGCAUUCCAAGGUCUUGACCACCUCGUAAACUAAAUCCAUAACCUUGCUGACCGCGUAAUAACUGGACCGAUACAGUCUCCUCGUCAGAUCGUUUGAUACGAUCUAAUGUUCCACCAGUACUGAGACUUCGCCUAGGAGCUGGUACUGGUUUAUAGCUUUGUUGUUGAACUGCAGGCUAG